rnacentral:tRNA from 1 species
GCCGUGGCUUAGUGGUCGAGCAUCCGCUUGGCAUUUAGAAGGUCCCAGGUUCAACCUCUGGCAUCUCCA